ensembl:lncRNA
AUGAACUAUAACCUGAGUGAAGCCCUCAAGACACUGAAGCUCUCCUCAGCAGACAGCACCUCGGACAGUGUAGAGAACUGCCUGGACUGCCUGCUGAAAGCCUUGGCCCAAAACAAUGUGGAAGCGAGUGAAAAGAUUCAGGAGAUGGGUGUUCUUCCUAUGAUGCCUUCAUUAUUGGCUAUACAGAACUCCUGCACACCAAAAGUAGCCAACAUCAUAGCAGAAUUGGCGAAAAACGAGUUUAUGCGGAGUCCCUGUGUGGAGGCAGGGCUAAUUCCCCCUCUGGUGCAGCUGCUCAACUGCAAAGACCAGGAGGUGCUGCUUCAGACGGGUCGAGCCCUGGGCAACAUCUGCUAUGACAGCCACACACUGCAGGCCCAGCUGAUCAGCAUGGGGGUGAUCCCCACUCUGGUGCAGCUUCUCGGGGUCCACUCCCAGAAUACGGCCCUCACAGAAAUGUGCCUCAUUGCCUUCGGAAACCUGGCAGAACUGGAAUCGAGUAAGGAGCAGUUUGCGUCUACAAACAUCGCAGAGGAGCUAGUGAGACUGUUCCGGAAGCAGGUGGAGCAUGAAAAGAAGGAGAUGAUCUUUGAGGUGCUGGCUCCGCUGGCUGAGAACGAUGUGAUCAAGCUACAGCUGGUGGAGGCAGGCCUGGUGGAGUGUCUGUUGGAUGUGGUUGGUCAGACGGUGGACAGUGACAGAGAGGAGGACACGGCUCAGCUGAAAACCGCCUCUGACCUCAUGGUGCUGCUGCUGCUGGGAGACGAGUCAAUGCAGAAACUGUUUGAUGGGGGUAAAGGUAACGUGUUCCAGAGGGUUCUCUCCUGGGUUCCGUCUAACAGCCACCAGCUUCAGCUAGCUGGCGCCCUGGCCAUCGCAAACUUCGCCCGCAACGAUGGGAACUGCAUCCACAUGGUGGACACGGGCAUUGUGCAGAUGCUGCUGGACCUUCUGGACAGGCAUGUGGAGGAGGGCAACGUCACCGUCCAGCACGCUGCUCUCAGUGCCCUCAGGAACCUGGCCAUCCCAGUGGUGAACAAGUCUAAGAUGCUCACGGCCGGCGUGACCGACGUGGUGCUGAGGUUCCUCCCGUCCGAGAUGCCACCGGUUCAGUUCAAGCUGCUGGGAACGUUACGGAUGCUCAUCGACACACAAGCGGAUGCUGCAGAACAGUUGGGUAUGAACCGUAAGCUGGUAGAGAGGCUGGUGGAGUGGUGUGAGGCCAAGGACCAUGCAGGCGUGAUGGGAGAAUCCAACCGCCUGCUCUCAGCACUCAUUCGACACAGCAAGUCAAAGGAAGUUGUUCGGACAGUCAUUCAGUAUGGUGGUGUAAAGCACUUGGUUACCAUGGCAACGAGUGAACACAUGAUCAUGCAGAAUGAAGCACUGGUGGCCUUGGGUCUCAUAGCAGCACUAGAUUUAGAUUCAGCAGAGAAGGAUUUUGUAGGGGCCACACUAGUGCAGGUGCUGCACAAACUUCUGAUGGAGGAGAAGAGCGCUCCUGAGAUCAAAUACAACUCCAUGAUCCUCAUCUGCUCCGUCAUGGGCUCAGGUGAGGGAGUCUUAUUUAAUGGUGUAUCCAUGUUCAGCUAUCCAGACCUCGCUCGUACGAUACAUGGACCCCACCCCCCACAUGCCUUUGAUCUGUCUGAGUAG